rnacentral:rRNA from 1 species
UAGCCUGAACCAGCCAAGUAGCGUGAAGGAUGAAGGCUCUAUGGGUCGUAAACUUCUUUUAUAUAAGAAUAAAGUGCAGUAUGUAUACUGUUUUGUAUGUAUUAUAUGAAUAAGGAUCGGCUAACUCCGUGCCAGCAGCCGCGGUAAUACGGAGGAUCCGAGCGUUAUCCGGAUUUAUUGGGUUUAAAGGGAGCGUAGGUGGACUGGUAAGUCAGUUGUGAAAGUUUGCGGCUCAACCGUAAAAUUGCAGUUGAUACUGUCAGUCUUGAGUACAGUAGAGGUGGGCGGAAUUCGUGGUGUAGCGGUGAAAUGCUUAGAUAUCACGAAGAACUCCGAUUGCGAAGGCAGCUCACUGGACUGCAACUGACACUGAUGCUCGAAAGUGUGGGUAUCAAACAGGAUUAGAUACCCUGGUAGUCCACACAGUAAACGAUGAAUACUCGCUGUUUGCGAUAUACAGUAAGCGGCCAAGCGAAAGCAUUAAGUAUUCCACCUGGGGAGUACGCCGGCAACGGUGAAACUCAAAGGAAUUGACGGGGGCCCGCACAAGCGGAGGAACAUGUGGUUUAAUUCGAUGAUACGCGAGGAACCUUACCCGGGCUUAAAUUGCAGUGGAAUGAUGUGGAAACAUGUCAGUGAGCAAUCACCGCUGUGAAGGUGCUGCAUGGUUGUCGUCAGCUCGUGCCGUGAGGUGUCGGCUUAAGUGCCAUAACGAGCGCAACCCUUAUCUUCAGUUACUAACAGGUCAUGCUGAGGACUCUGGAGAGACUGCCGUCGUAAGAUGUGAGGAAGGUGGGGAUGACGUCAAAUCAGCACGGCCCUUACGUCCGGGGCUACACACGUGUUACAAUGGGGGGUACAGAAGGCAGCUAGCGGGUGACCGUAUGCUAAUCCCAAAAUCCUCUCUCAGUUCGGAUCGAAGUCUGCAACCCGACUUCGUGAAGCUGGAUUCGCUAGUAAUCGCGCAUCAGCCACGGCGCGGUGAAUACGUUCCCGGGCCUUGUACACACCGCCCGUCAAGCCAUGGGAGCCGGGGGUACCUGAAGUACGUAACCGCAAGGAUCGUCCUAGGGUAAAACUGGUGACUGGGGCUAAGUCGUAACAAGGUAGCCGUACCGGAAGGUGCGGCUGGAACACCUCCUUU